rnacentral:rRNA from 1 species
CCCUUAGAGUUUGAUCAUGGCUCAGAUUGAACGCUGGCGGCAUGCCUAACACAUGCAAGUCGAACGGAAACGAUGCUAGCUUGCUAGCAGGCGUCGAGUGGCGGACGGGUGAGUAAUGCAUAGGAAUCUACCUAGUAGUGGGGGACAACCUGGUGAAAACCAGGCUAAUACCGCAUAAUCCCUACGGGGCAAAGCAGGGGACCUUCGGGCCUUGCGCUAAUAGAUGAGCCUAUGUCGGAUUAGCUUGUUGGCGUGGUAAUGGCUCACCAAGGCAACGAUCCGUAGCUGGUCUGAGAGGAUGAUCAGCCACACUGGGACUGAAACACGGCCCAGACUCCUACGGGAGGCAGCAGUGGGGAAUAUUGCACAAUGGGCGCAAGCCUGAUGCAGCAAUGCCGCGUGUGUGAAGAAGGCCUUAGGGUUGUAAAGCACUUUCAGUAGGGAGGAAAAGUUCAAGGUUAAUAACCUUGGGCCCUGACGUUACCUACAGAAGAAGCACCGGCUAACUCCGUGCCAGCAGCCGCGGUAAUACGGAGGGUGCAAGCGUUAAUCGGAAUUACUGGGCGUAAAGCGCGCGUAGGCGGUUAAGUCAGUCAGAUGUGAAAGCCCCGGGCUCAACCUGGGAACUGCAUUUGAUACUGCUUAGCUAGAGUAUGGUAGAGGAGAGUGGAAUUUCAGGUGUAGCGGUGAAAUGCGUAGAUAUCUGAAGGAACAUCAGUGGCGAAGGCGGCUCUCUGGA